ACAUGUGAAGAAACAGCUCCAGUUUUGGGUCGACUGUCAGCUUCCUUUGCUUCCUCUUGAGCAUCUGAGGUAGUGUUUCACUGAUCAGCCUCGUGAUUCACAGCACUGUGCCUGGAGAGACAGAUCCGUGCACUUGGAAAUAUUUACUCUCAUUUCAUCCAGCCUUCCUCUCCAGGCAAAUCCCUGCCCAUGCAAACAUCUUCAGGGCUGUUGGCCCUAUCAACCGGGCCGUGUCUGGCAUGAGUAGAAGGUUCUGGAGCACAAACUCACACUGAAGAAGAAGCCAAUGAAUCAUCUUUAAGUAUUUGUGACUGUGCAGACAAGUGGCUGAAGUUGUCAUUUGCUGGAGUGGCUGGACACCAACUGGAGAUCUUGGCACAGAGGGAAAUAAAUCCAGAGUGAAGUGACUCACAGGUACCCUUACCUGAGUCACUGGAUCAACAGCGCCCCCAGGGCUUCCACACAGGGUGGUCUUGAGUCAGCCUGCCUGCCUGACUUGCUUCUGGUAACAGAAUUUUGCAGCCCGCAUGAGGCUCUGAGCUGUUUCCCUUCACUGCUUCAAUUGCAUUUAUUUGCAUAUAUUUGUGAUGCACACACACACCACCACUGGAUCCCACAGACUCCUCUCCCUCCCUUUUCCUCUGGUGUAUACUAACCAAAUAGUUGAGGAUUUUCCUAAUGUCUCAAUGCUGUUGUAGCUCCUCUGCCUGAGAAAGGAUUCCUGGAGACUAAUGCUUCCUGACCAUGUCCCUCCACUAACCCCUUGUGCUGGCCACAUCCCUGCAUGAAGUCUGCCCUGAUGUUGGCUUGAGGCAUUUGCCAACAGCAAGCGGUUUUCUAUGCUGCAGACUUUUAGCUGUAAAUAUCUUCACUAACUUUUCUUGACCUCCAGAUAAAGUGCCAAAUGAACCAAAGGCCACACACACACAGCUCAGAAACGGAACUGGAAGAAUCAGGCCAUGUCAUCCAAAGUCAGUAUUUGCUAAAGAAGAUGACUUGAGAAGGUAUUAACUGGCCUCUGAGGAAAGGAUCCAGGACAUAAACAGGAGGCAGACGUCAUGCGCUCUGAAAGCAAGCUCCUCCCCAUAACAAAUGUUUGCACAAAAGCUGCUUCACCUUAACAUCCUCCAAGGAACUACAGACAUGGCAUGCGAGUGCAUCUAUUUUGGCCCACGACAAUCUAAUGCAUGGCUGAUCAAGUUUUUCUUCAGGAUCUUGUUACCAAGUUGAUUUAUUUAUUUGACAAUUAAUGGCUGUUUAAUUAAAAAGGCAUGUCUCAACAUCAGAUAAACAGCAUAUUCCCUCGGGAAGAAAUGGGGGACUUCCUCUUCUGAGAGCUACAGGUGGCCAGCACCUGUCUGGGACACAGGUCGCGACACUCAGCACUCCAUUGCCCUCCCGCUCCACAGCAGAGUGGCCUACGUGGACUGCAGUGAGGACUUGCUGUUCUUAAAAAUAAUAAACACACAGCCAUAAAGGCACCACAAACAUUUGAAUAAAGGAUUCAAUUAUGUUAAGAAAGAGCCAUGCUUUAGAGGAACAAAGUAAUGGCCCCGAGUGCAUAAAUUACAAUUGCUAUUUUGUUUGUGACAGUAUCUUGGUGGUGUAACUUAUUAGGCAUUAGCUAAAUGUGUUAAAACAGACAGAAGCCUUACCCUAGACUGUGUGGCUGGAAGGAGGGGAAUUAUUCUGUAGUAAUGAAGAUAUCCUUUCACUUUCAAAUAAAAAAAAAACCAAUGUCA